AAUGGUGAGUAGUCGCAGCUCUUGUUAGAAGAGUUGAGGAAAGUCCAGGCUCGCCCGGUGCUGAGAUGCCCGGAGUGUUCGUGCCAUCUGCAAAGGUGGGCAACAAGAAUUUACUUGUCUGACGGCGGAGAAAUCAUGCUAAGUCCAACGUGAUAUGCUGAGAGUAUUCUGAAAGUGCCACAGUGACGGAGUUCGUCUGGAAACGGACGAAAUGGAACGAGGUAAACCCCACGAGCGAGCAACCCGAAAUUAGGUAGGGGCACCAUCCUGCGGGAAAUGAACCAAAAGGAUGGAUCAAUCAUAGAUCGAUAGUUAGAUGACUACACCUGUCGUGCGAGAUUGGCAUUCGUUUAUAGCACGCAGGAACAGAACCUGGCUUACAGCC
rnacentral:RNase_P_RNA from 1 species